CCCUUAGAUGUCCUGGGCCGCACGCGUGCUACACUGACGCAUACAGCGAGCACUUUCCAGUUCCGAGAGGCUACUGGUAAUCAUCAAUAUGCGUCGUGAUGGGGAUAGAUCUUUGGAAUUCUGGAUCUUGAACGAGGAAUGCCUAGUAAUCGCAGGUCAUUAGCCUGCGAUGAUUAAGUCCCUGCCCUUUGUACACACCGCCCGUCGCUACUACCGAUUUCGAGUGGUCAGGUGAAUCUUUCGGACUGUGGGCGCCCUUGAGGUGUUCGCGGAAAGUCAGGUAAAUCUUAUCACUUAGAGGAAGUAAAAGUCGUANCA
rnacentral:rRNA from 1 species